CUUGAGCCGGCGACAUAUCCAUCGAAGGUGUGCCCUAUCAUCUGUCGACUGUGGCAUAGACGCCCACAGUGGAUUUGACGGGUAACGGGGAAUCAGGGUUCGAUUCCGGAGAGGGAGCCUUAAAAACGGCUACCACAUCCAAGGAAGGCAGCAGGCACGCAAAUUACCCAAUGACCGAAGGUCGAGGUAGUGACGAAAAAUAACGAUACGGGACUCAUCCGAGGCCCCGUAAUCGGAAUGAGUACACUUUAAAACCUUUCCAACGAGGAUCUAUUGGAGGGCAAGUCUGGUGCCAGCAGCCGCGGUAAUUCCAGCUCCAAUAGCGUAUAUUAAAGUUGUUGCGGUUAAAAAGCUCGUAGUUGGAUCUCGGCGGCUAGAGGGCGGUAUGCUUCGUAGCAUUACUGCUCUAUUAGCCGUAGUUUUGCUAGAGGUUCCUGGGUGCUCUUAAUCGAGUGUCUAGGGAUGCUAGCGGGUUUACUUUGAAAAAAUUAGAGUGCUCAAAGCAGGCUAUUACGCUUGAAUAUUCGUGCAUGGAAUAAUAGAAUAGGAAGUUGUUUCUAUUUUGUUGGUUUUCGGAAAUCGACUUAAUGAUUAAUAGGGACAGUCGGGGGCAUUUGUAUUCAAACGACAGAGGUGAAAUUCUUGGACCGUUUGAAGACAAGCUACUGCGAAAGCAUUUGCCAAGAAUGUUUUCAUUAAUCAAGAACGAAAGUUAGAGGUUCGAAGGCGAUUAGAUACCGCCCUAGUUCUAACCAUAAACGAUGCCAGCUAGCGAUCUGAGGACGUUUUUUUUGUAGACUCCUCAGGAAGCUUCCGGGAAACCAAAGCGUGUGGGUUCCGGGGGAAGUAUGGUUGCAAAGCUGAAACUUAAAGGAAUUGACGGAAGGGCACCACCAGGAGUGGAGCCUGCGGCUUAAUUUGA
rnacentral:rRNA from 1 species